CCGGGGGAACUGAAACAUCUAAGUACCCCGAGGAAAAGAAAUCAACCGAGAUUCCCCCAGUAGCGGCGAGCGAACGGGGAGGAGCCCAGAACCUGAAUCGGCUUGUGUGUUAGUGGAAGCGUCUGGAAAGUCGCGCAGUAAAGGGUGAUAGCCCCGUACACUAAAAUGCACAGGUCGUGAGUUCGAUGAGUAGGGCGGGACACGUGACAUCCUGUCUGAAUAUGGGGGGACCAUCCUCCAAGGCUAAAUACUCCUGACUGACCGAUAGUGAACCAGU
rnacentral:rRNA from 1 species